GUCUAUGGCCAUACCACCCUGAAUGCACCUGAUCUCGUCUGAUCUCAGACACUAAGCAGGGUCAGACCUGGUUAGUACUUGGAUGGAAGACAGAUCUUCAGAAGAGACUGCUCAGAGACA
rnacentral:rRNA from 1 species